AUUGAACGCUGGCGGCAUGCUUUGCACAUGCAAGUCGAACGGCAGCACGGGGGCAACCCUGGUGGCGAGUGGCGAACGGGUGAGUAAUGCAUCGGAACAUGCCCAGUCGUGGGGGAUAACGUAGCGAAAGUUACGCUAAUACCGCAUACGUCCUGAGGGAGAAAGCGGGGGAUCGCAAGACUUCGCGCGAUUGGAGUGGCCGAUGUCAGAUUAGCUAGUUGGUGGGGUAAAGGCCCACCAAGGCGACGAUCUGUAGCGGGUCUGAGAGGAUGAUCCGCCACACUGGGACUGAGACACGGCCCAGACUCCUACGGGAGGCAGCAGUGGGGAAUUUUGGACAAUGGGGGCAACCCUGAUCCAGCCAUGCCGCGUGCGGGAAGAAGGCCUUCGGGUUGUAAACCGCUUUCAGCCGGAAAGAAAUCGCUAUUCCUAAUACGAGUGGUGGAUGACGGUACCGGAAGAAGAAGCACCGGCUAACUACGUGCCAGCCGCCGCCGUAAGAC
rnacentral:rRNA from 1 species